GGCUCCGUAGCUCAGCUGGAUAGAGCAACUGCCUUCUAAGCAGUAGGUCUCUGGUUCGAAUCCAGACGGAGUCA
rnacentral:tRNA from 1 species